rnacentral:pre_miRNA from 1 species
ACCCGAGGACGAGAUACAGUGCAGCAUCGCGGGACGGAAAUCUUCCUUUGCGUGUACCUUCUCUUGUCCCAUCCUGGU